rnacentral:rRNA from 1 species
AUGAACGCUGGCGGCGUGCUUAACCCCUGCAAGUCGCACGAUGAAGCCCAGCUUGCUGGGUGGAUUAGUGGCGAACGGGUGAGUAACACGUGAGUAACCUGCCCUUAACUCUGGGAUAAGCCUGGGAAACUGGGUCUAAUACCGGAUAGGAGCGUCCACCGCAUGGUGGGUGUUGGAAAGAUUUAUCGGUUUUGGAUGGACUCGCGGCCUAUCAGCUUGUUGGUGAGGUAAUGGCUCACCAAGGCGACGACGGGUAGCCGGCCUGAGAGGGUGACCGGCCACACUGGGACUGAGACACGGCCCAGACUCCUACGGGAGGCAGCAGUGGGGAAUAUUGCACAAUGGGCGCAAGCCUGAUGCAGCGACGCCGCGUGAGGGAUGACGGCCUUCGGGUUGUAAACCUCUUUCAGUAGGGAAGAAGCGAAAGUGACGGUACCUGCAGAAGAAGCACCGGCUAACUACGUG